UGAGACUCUGGCCUACAUCUUCUCAAGCUCCAACCUCUGAAAAUAGAUGUGCUUUAGUAGAUGCUACUUGUCCAAACUGUGAAGAAAUCGAGGGUUGAGAGAAAGUGUGAGAGAGAGGUUUAAGGGUUUGGGCGGUCAUGGUUGACUCUCUGGCUUCUCUCUUGCUUGCCCAAACUGUGAAGAAAUCGAGGGUUGAGAGAAAGUGUGAGAGAGAGGUUUAAGGGUUUGGGCGGUCAUGGUUGACUCUCUGGCUUCUCUCUUGCUUCGUUUAGGUUUCAGCCAGGUAUGAAUGGCGUUUUAUAGAGACAGAGCUUGUGGAUGAAUACAGAGAGAUCGCCAUGGAUAGAGUAUUACAAAGAGCAAGAUCAAGAAAGAGUGUAGAGAGAGACGGAUUGCCAUGGUAGUGUUAGAGAGAGAAAGAUAAA
rnacentral:lncRNA from 1 species